GGUUAAUCACUAUGCAUCCUAUAUCAGUGGAGGAAUGAGAUUUCACACAAGAGAGCUUGAGAUGCAAUAAUGGAUUUAAAAUAGUGGGAUUGCUACAAAAAGAUAUGAAGGAGAAGAAGAGAUUGAUUAUUAUGGUAUACUGGUAGAUAUCAUAGAACUGAAGUAUGGGUCCAGUAAUUCUAUAUUUUUGUUUCAGUAUGAAUGGUGG
rnacentral:lncRNA from 1 species